UGGCAAAAUACUUCUCCUAGGGGAGUACAGACAAAUAUAGACAGACAGAUGGGGGCACAGGACACCAGACAGGGAGGGGGGAAGGGAGGGCAGUGGUGUCUUCUAAUCAGUAAGUGGAAGCUGCACCCCACCCCCAGGUGGAGGGUGGGACAUUGGCACAGGAGGUGGCGAGACAGGCAUGAGGUGCCCAUCCCUGAGGCGGGCAGCCGGGCAGGCCCCAGUCCUUGUUGGCACACUCGGCUCUCUCUGGCCCAGCUGGGAUGCUGGGGAGGGGCAGGGUUGCUGGGCUACAGGGAUGCCAAGGCAAAGGGAUGCCCCAGGGGAGAGGGGGUACCAAGGCCUCUCCUGGGGGAAGUGAACAUGGGUAACAAACAGAAUCACGAGAGGCAAAUACAGAGCAGCAACAGCAGCAGCCAAGCCCCCCAGAGGAGAUCCGAGGUCCCAAGGCAACCCCUGGGCACCAUCCCACGGGUCCUCUCCCCUGGGGCCUCAGGGUGAGGGUGAAGGAGCAGUUUUUUGGUUUAAAAUGAGGCGGACCAGAGUGUUCCAUGGGCUCCACACCCAGGUGGCACAGGGAUGGGGGGCUCAGAUGCAGAGGGGCCCCCUCUACUAAUGGCAGCAGGCAAGGGAUGUUGGAGGCCAAGCUCAUUCCUGGGGUAGGCAAAGGCUGAGGCAUGGAGGUGGGGGGUGGGGAGCAGCGUCUCGGCCGCUCACUCCUCAGGGUUCUGGGCCCUGGACGUUGCCAUGGCCACGGAGGGUAGAGGGUGCUGUAUGCCUGCCAGCUUCCACCCAGAACCCUCCCCAAGACAAGCUCCCCAUGGGGUGUCCAUGCUAUGGCUUUCACCGACCAGACGAUGCUGCCAGGAAGCUGGGAGGAAGGGGCAGGCAGGUUCCGACCCCAGAGCAGGAGGGAAGACGGGCAGGGCGCCCACUACAUGGCAUGUUCCUGCUCCUGGGGCACCACACUGCCCCGCUGUGAGGACUCCAGCCCGCCCCAGAAGCCGAGGUUUCUCCUGAGCGAGUCCGAGUCCCAGGAUUGUGAUUCGAGGCAUCCUGCCCAUCCCCAGCAGCAGAGAGCAACGGCAGGUGCGAGGAGCAGCUCCCAGGAUCUUACCUGCCAUCAAACCGAUGCUUCAAGAAGUCAAAUAAAG
rnacentral:lncRNA from 1 species